rnacentral:rRNA from 1 species
UACGUAGGGCGCAAGCGUUGUCCGGAAUUAUUGGGCGUAAAGAGCUCGUAGGCGGUCUGUCGCGUCGGAUGUGAAAGCCCGGGGCUUAACCCCGGGUCUGCAUUCGAUACGGGCAGACUAGAGUGUGGUAGGGGAGAUCAGAAUUCCUGGUGUAGCGGUGAAAUGCGCAGAUAUCAGGAGGAACACCGGUGGCGAAGGCGGAUCUCUGGGCCAUUACUGACGCUGAGGAGCGAAAGCGUGGGGAGCGAACAGG